rnacentral:lncRNA from 1 species
CCUGAGCUCUCCAGCCUUGUUUGGGAGGGGGAACCUGGACUGGCUUAAACAAGAGCCAGCCUCAGGGAUGAACCAGAGGCUGGCAGAGAAGCCUUCACUGAAGAUAAGGGGAGGCGGCAUUGCUGGGGAUUCAGGAGAGUCUCAGGACUGCUUAGGCCCAAAUGCCAGAAGAGUUAGGAGCACCGGGCUCCAGAGACCCCAGCGACAGAAGGAAGAGAACUAGUGAGCCGAAACCCAUUGCCAACAAAACAGUAUUUAUCAAGGUGGGAAGGUACGCUACUUCCCUGAGAGACUGCUUAAGCAGACAGUGGUCUGCCAUGGUAAGAAGUGCUGGCUUCCCCUUUGCCUUUCGCCAUGAUUGCAAGUUUCCUGAAGGCUUCCAGUCAUGCUUCCUGUUAUGUCUGCAGAACUGUGAGUCAAUUAAACAUUUUUACUUUAUAAAUUACCCAGUCUUGGGUAGUUCUUUAUAGCAGUGUAGAAACGGACUAAUAAAACAUGUACGUUUAAUGUCUCCCAAGUACGGGAUUUUUUUCUUUUUGUUAUUCUUCAUGUCACAUUUGGUUGCUAUAGGUAGGAGUGUGAAUCACAU